GUGGGGAAUCUUGCGCAAUGGGCGAAAGCCUGACGCAGCCAUGCCGCGUGAAUGAUGAAGGUCUUAGGAUUGUAAAAUUCUUUCACCGGGGACGAUAAUGACGGUACCCGGAGAAGAAGCCCCGGCUAACUUCGUGUCAGCAGCCGCGGUAAUACGAAGGGGGCUAGCGUUGCUCGGAAUUACUGGGCGUAAAGGGCGCGUAGGCGGACAGUUUAGUCAGAGGUGAAAGCCCAGGGCUCAACCUUGGAAUUGCCUUUGAUACUGGCUGUCUUGAGUACGGGAGAGGUGAGUGGAACUCCGAGUGUAGAGGUGAAAUUCGUAGAUAUUCGGAAGAACACCAGUGGCGAAGGCGACUCACUGGCCCGUUACUGACGCUGAGGCGCGAAAGCGUGGGGAGCAAACAGGAUUAGAUACCCCGGUAGUCC
rnacentral:rRNA from 1 species